AAAAUUGAAUAAUUGGUAUGUUCUUCCUAGUUUUGAAGGCUAGCUAAAAAACUAGGAAGCUAAGAUGGAAUUUGGUGUAAAUCCAAAACGGUCCCGCCACUGUAAAUGGGGAGGGAAUAAGAAAAAUGCCACUGGAAAAUCCGGGAAGGCUCUUAUUCCUAACGAUCCAUAAGUCAGAAGACAUGCAUAUCAUGGUAGACAUAC
rnacentral:ncRNA from 1 species